GUGAAGGAAAGUCCAGCCAGCCUUCGUUUCCUGAUGAUACGGCAUAUCCACGGCCUGUUUUUAUUUGCAGGAGUUCACAGGCACUUACGCCAGCGGGAGGUGUGUUGAAGAUCUAAGUGGUACAACUGUAGUGCUUUUCAGUAACGAAGGCAAAAAUGCGUGUGUCAUAUGUUGAUUCUUCGGACAAUUUCAUGGAUGACAUUAAGCGUGCUGUGGUGAUGGUGUAAAUAACUUCAAGUGUUUGCACGUGACGGUCGUUAUGUGUCUGGUGCUGGUGCCACUGAAAUCGACUUGGCUUCCGAACUGGCUGUCUCCGCCGAUACCAUACCGGGUCUAGAACAGUACGCUGUACGUAGAUCUACGAUCAAGUCCUCGCACUUUCCAUCUACAAGGGACGUUUUUGGUUUCUGCGCAAGUUCAACGUCCCUACAUUUGCUCGAAUCAGUGCAGCGUUGCAAAACCCACACGAGCCGCUUUCCGCAAUUUUUCUUAAUGCAUUUGAUUAACGUAAAUCUAUGAAUUAUAUUAGCAAUAUAUGAAAUAUUUGUUUUAGACCAUAUUAAUACAUUUUCCCAACACUUACUAAUAUUAAGGACAAGUAUAUUAAGGUAAACAAACUUUAAACUAUAAACUACUACUCUUG